GCACUCUCUGAACUUCAAAAACGAGCUAGCCUUUCUCUCCGGUGCACUACCUUUUCUCCGGCGGCUUCCUUUUCUCCGGCGAUUUUCUUCUCUCCAGCGAACUCUUUGUUGGGGAUUUUUUUGGAUCUCGAAUUUUGGCCAUCAAAAUAGGUAAUGAGUAUAAUCCCAUUAGCGUUGCUACAAUUUCUGGACUAUUGGAGGUAAUGAGUCUAAUCCCAUUAGCCUUGCUAUAAUUUCUGGACUAUUGGAUUAACUUUAUUACUACUAAUAUUUUUAUGAGCCUUGAAAGCUAAUUUCUGACUAGAAUGGUCAAGUUUUGAUGGUCCUUUGAUUUGCAAUGAAAAAGUUAGGAUUGUUGAAGAUAAUUUGCAUAGGUUGUUUAAAGAAUACAUGACAAUAUCCGAUGUUGGAAUUGUUAGAAGUAGUAGUCAUGAAUGUUAUGAUGAAACAAUGGACGAAAUGGAUGAAUUUGAUAUGUUUGAAAGUUCAUCUGAGUAUCGUUCAGAAAAGACAGUUGGAUUUAUAUACUUGGAAGAGCCUGUAUUAGUUCGCAAAGAAAAUAAAAAUAUACUUACAUUUUGGAAGGAUAAUAGAAGCAAGUAUCAUGAACUCUCAUUGAUGGAUCGUGACCUGUUAAGUAUACCUAUCAGCGCAGUUGCAUUUGAGUCAGCUUUUAGUAUUGGUGGUCGUCUGGUCGAGUUAUUAGCAACUUCCAGAGUUCUAUUCUACCGGAGAAUAUAGAAGCUAAGUUGUGUUCUAGAGAUUGGAUUUAUGGGCAUCAAGCUUGUGAUGAUUCUGAAGAGGAGGACAUUGCAAUAGAUGUGGAGAAAAUUACCUCUACACUUUUAAAAAGUUUAAAUCUUGGAUAACUUUGAUGCUAGAAAGAGGAAGAUAAAAAGUGUGUGUUGAAGAAGAUGUUGGCUUCAAUCUUUACUUACUAGUUGUCAGCUAUGUAGUAAGAAUGCGUAAUCUUUCUGUUAGUUUCAAAGACAAUCAUAUUAUUGUAGUUUGAUUGCUGUUUUGAUAACAUCUUUCUGUUAAUUUCAAAUAAAGUGGAAUUCUUGUUCA